AGAGUUUGAUCCUGGCUCAGAUUGAACGCUGGCGGAAUGCUUUACACAUGCAAGUCGAACGGCAGCACGGGGGCAACCCUGGUGGCGAGUGGCGAACGGGUGAGUAAUACAUCGGAACGUGCCCAGUCGUGGGGGAUAACGCAGCGAAAGCUGUGCUAAUACCGCAUACGAUCUACGGAUGAAAGCGGGGGACUCGCAAGGGCCUCGCGCGAUUGGAGCGGCCGAUGGCAGAUUAGGUAGUUGGUGGGGUAAAGGCUCACCAAGCCUGCGAUCUGUAGCUGGUCUGAGAGGACGACCAGCCACACUGGGACUGAGACACGGCCCAGACUCCUACGGGAGGCAGCAGUGGGGAAUUUUGGACAAUGGGCGCAAGCCUGAUCCAGCCAUUCCGCGUGCAGGAUGAAGGCCUUCGGGUUGUAAACUGCUUUUGUACGGAACGAAAAGGCUUCCUUCUAAUAC
rnacentral:rRNA from 1 species